UCUGUAUGGUGUGGGGUAAUUGUCCACAAAUGCUCUGUGGUGGCAAUUAGACAUGCAAGAUUUAACCUCAAGCCAACCACUUCCAAAAACACAAGACUGUACCCCGUUGAAAACCUCAGUUCUCUUGUCUUUUUGUGCUUUUGAUUGAUCUCUUCCUGUAUUUGCUUUCGGGGUAACUCAGUGUUGUCCACCUUUGCUCCUCUCUUCCAGGUGCAGUACAGUGAUGCACAGAGUGGCAAGGAUUUUGUGACCUAUCUGACCCUCUCCCCUGUGCAAAUGACUUUCCACGGCACCGGGAGCACCCUCCAAGCCAGCCAUGACCAGGCUGCUCUAAGUGCCUUGAAACAGCUGUCGGAGCAGGGACUGGACCCGGUGGAUGGCCCCAUCAAGACCAGUGAACCAUGUGGGAGGGAGGAUGGACAUUAAACAGACUAACUCAGGCACCACCACUCAGGUCUGCAAGGAUUCAAAGGCUGUCGUCUAGGAGCUGACAACCCCGAACCCCUCCUUCGGCAUACACCAACCCGACGAAACCCACCCACCCACCCUACACCCCAAAAGUCCCAUAACCUACGACCCACAGUGUCCCCACUACCCACAAUUCCCCCACCCUCUCUACCCACCCCCACCCCACGAUUGCCACUGUAUCCUUCAAAACCUGUCAACAUGCAAUAGGGUGGAUGUGCACCGAGAAAUGACCGACUAAAACCCCAUUACCUGAGUCUAUGUGAAGACAACGCUAUGUUAACACGUUUAUUGAUGAUUUCAGUCUAAAUUUAGAGGACAACAAAUAAAAGAAACGAAACACAAACUAAUGAGAUAAAUGCAUGGUACUGUAUGAAAUUAAGGGAAGUCCAAAGUGAUACACUGCAUAGACAAUUUUCCCUUUGGAUAAAUGUCUUUUGGUAUGGUUAAAUACAAAUAUGUACAUCAUGCCAUUGAAACACAAAAGAAACAUUUUAGG